GACGAACGCUGGCGGCGUGCUUAACACAUGCAAGUCGAACGCUGAAGCUCAGCUUUUGUUGGGUGGAUGAGUGGCGAACGGGUGAGUAACACGUGAGUAACCUGCCUCCUUCUUUGGGAUAACGCCCGGAAACGGGUGCUAAUACUGGAUAUGCACUGGUCUUCGCAUGGGGGUUGGUGGAAAGGGUUUUUCUGGUGGGGGAUGGGCUCGCGGCCUAUCUGCUUGUUGGUGGGGUGAUGGCCUACCAAGGCUUUGACGGGUAGCCGGCCUGAGAGGGUGCCCGGUCACAUAGGGACUGAGAUACGGCCCAGACUCCUACGCGAGGCAGCAGUGGGGAAUAUUGCACAGUGGGCGAUAGCCUGAUGCAGCGACGCCGCGUGAGGGAUGGCGGCCUUCGGGUUGUGAACCUCUUUGGCUCAUGGUCAAGCCGCAACAAUGGUUGUGGUGAGGGUAGUGGGUAAAGAAGCGCCGGCUAACUACGUG
rnacentral:rRNA from 1 species